GACGGAGGGUGCAAGCGUUGUUCGGAUUGACUGGGCGUAAAGGGCGUGUAGGCGGUCGGCCAAGUCUGAUGUGAAAGCCCGAGGCUCAGCCUCGGAAGUGCGUCGGAAACUAGUCGGCUGGAGCGCGAUAGAGGAGGGUGGAAUUCCUGGUGUAGCGGUGAAAUGCGUAGAUAUCGGAAGGAACACCAGUGGCGAAAGCGGCUUCCUGGUCCGACACCGACGUUCAGGCACGAAAGCGUGGGGAGCAAACAGG
rnacentral:rRNA from 1 species